GCCCCCAUAGCUCAGUGGAUAGAGCGGCGGACUCCUAAGCCGUGCGCACAGGUUCGAUUCCUGUUGGGGGUA
rfam:Chloroflexi bacterium OLB15 TZ15_CFX003CONTIG000046, whole genome shotgun sequence.